rnacentral:rRNA from 1 species
UGGGGAAUUUUGGACAAUGGGGGAAACCCUGAUCCAGCCAUCCCGCGUGUGCGAUGAAGGCCUUCGGGUUGUAAAGCACUUUUGGCAGGAAAGAAACGUCAUGGGUUAAUACCCCGUGAAACUGACGGUACCUGCAGAAUAAGCACCGGCUAACUACGUGCCAGCAGCCGCGGUAAUACGUAGGGUUCAAGCGUUAAUCGGAAUUACUGGGCGUAAAGCGUGCGCAGGCGGUUCGGAAAGAAAGAUGUGAAAUCCCAGAGCUCAACUUUGGAACUGCAUUUUUAACUACCGGGCUAGAGUGUGUCAGAGGGAGGUGGAAUUCCGCGUGUAGCAGUGACAUGCGUAGAUAUGCGGAGGAACACCGAUGGCGAAGGCAGCCUCCUGGGAUAACACUGACGCUCAUGCACGAAAGCGUGGGGAGCAAACAGG